AAUUUUUAAAUGAUCCCUAAUUGCAAGGACGAAACACAUAUUAAAGCCUUUAGUUUUUAAGGAUUUCAAAACUAAAAUAGUCCCGCAUAGGAACAUGCAUGAAAAAUGGAGGAUAUGAUCAUCUAUAAUAAGAGAAACAUAUGACACAAGAAGACAAAACUUAAUUUGGUGGUUGCAUACCGGUGUUAAUUACUAUGCGUAAUAAUAGUCUCGUCCAAUCCAUUAAAAAUUGGUAUAAAUUCCAAUAUAUUUUAUGGGUAAC
rnacentral:lncRNA from 1 species